CAGCAGCCGCGGUAAUACGGAGGGUGCAAGCGUUAAUCGGAAUUACUGGGCGUAAAGCGCACGCAGGCGGUCUGACAAGUCAGAUGUGAAAUCCCCGGGCUUAACCUGGGAACUGCAUUUGAAACUGUCAGGCUGGAGUCUUGUAGAGGGGGGUGGAAUUCCAGGUGUAGCGGUGAAAUGCGUAGAGAUCUGGAGGAAUACCGGUGGCGAAGGCGGCCCCCUGGACAAAGACUGACGCUCAGGUGCGAAAGCGUGGGGAGCAAACAGGAUUAGAUAUCCGCGUAGUCCCUGUCUCUUAUAC
rnacentral:rRNA from 1 species